rnacentral:lncRNA from 1 species
CAACACAAUUUCUUUUCUGGAUUUUCUGGAAAGGAUGUUUUUUUAUCUAGUACGGAAGUCAGACAUUAGCAUGUCUAAAAUGGCUACCACCAAAAUUGGUAAGAUAUUUUCAGGAACAUCCUGGUACAUAAUGAUAGUGUUGAAUUGGAUACAGAUAGUUUUACUGCAGGCUGGGUAAGUAGGGCUGCCUUUUGUCUCAUGAUGCCUUUCUUUGAGCUCCAAGGGACAGUCUUUCUUCUUCUUCUGAUACUCUGGAGCCAUGUAACCUCCGGCAUAGCAUUUAACCUCUCUGGAUUUCUGAUUUCUUAUCUGUAAAAUGUGGGAGGUUGGGGAAAAUGAUUCAGAAGCCCUCUUCCAGCUUUAGAAUUCUGUGAUGUCAUAUAAAUGAAUGUUUAUUAUACUUCAUGAAUGGGAUUUUUGUCAGGAUUCCACAGCCUGCACGAUAGCUUGUCCAGCAGUCUUCAAAGUAGAGUCCAUGGACCACUGGAGGCAUACAUAAUCAUUUCCCGAAGUGUGGGAAGAACUCAUUAGACUUUUAUUUAUUUACAUUUAUUUUUAAAUUACCUUUAAAGAUUUCCUAUAUAUAUUUAUGUUUUACAUUCACUAAGACUUAUAAGCACUUAAUAUUGCCAGGCACUAUUCUAAGUGCUUUAAAAUUAUUACCAUUAUUUAACUCUUACAGCAACUCUGUGAAGCAGAUACUCUUACCAUACCGAUUUUACUGAUGAGGAAAUUGGGACGCAGAGAUUAUGAAAAUGAGAUCAUAUGGUGUUGGAAAUAUUUGAGCUGAGACUUAAACCCAGUCACAAGGAACUGAAUGCUGCUGACAAAACUACAUGAGUGAGGAAGUGGAUGCUUCCCCAGACGAGCCUCGGAUGAGACCACAGCCCCAACUCACACUUCAGUGCCUGCCUUGCAGAGGACCCAGUUCAGUUCCACUCAGCCUCCUGACCCAGAGAAAGUGUGAGAUAAUAAAUGUGUGUUGUUUUAAACCUUUAAGUUUGUGUUAAUUUGUUACACAACAAUAGAAAUCUAAUACAGGAAGUACCUGCCCAUGUUUUUAACGUAAAAU